UUCGCCCUUAGAGUUUGAUCCUGGCUCAGGACGAACGCUGGCGGCGCGCCUAACACAUGCAAGUCGAACGAGCGAGAGAGAGCUUGCUUUCUCGAGCGAGUGGCGAACGGGUGAGUAACGCGUGAGGAACCUGCCUCAAAGAGGGGGACAACAGUUGGAAACGACUGCUAAUACCGCAUAAGCCCACGGCUCGGCAUCGAGCAGAGGGAAAAGGAGCAAUCCGCUUUGAGAUGGCCUCGCGUCCGAUUAGCUAGUUGGUGAGGUAAUGGCCCACCAAGGCAACGAUCGGUAGCCGGACUGAGAGGUUGAACGGCCACAUUGGGACUGAGACACGGCCCAGACUCCUACGGGAGGCAGCAGUGGGGAAUAUUGCACAAUGGGGGAAACCCUGAUGCAGCGACGCCGCGUGGAGGAAGAAGGUCUUCGGAUUGUAAACUCCUGUUGUUGAGGAAGAUAAUGACGGUACUCAACAAGGAAGUGACGGCUAACUACGUGCCAGCAGCCGCGGUAAAACGUAGGGUGCAAGCGUUGUCCGGAACUACUGGGUGUAAAGGGAGCGCAGGCGGGAAGACAAGUUGGAAGUGAAAACCAUGGGCUCAACCCAUGAAUUGCUUUCAAAACUGUUUUUCUUGAGUAGUGCAGAGGUAGAUGGAAUUCCCGGUGUAGCGGUGGAAUGCGUAGAUAUCGGGAGGAACACCAGUGGCGAAGGCGGUCUACUGGGCACCAACUGACGCUGAGGCUCGAAAGCAUGGGUAGCAAACAGAAUUAGAUACCCUGGUAGUCCAUGCCGUAAACGAUGAUUACUAGGUGUUGGGGGAUUGACCCCCUCAGUGCCGCAGUUAACACAAUAAGUAAUCCACCUGGGGAGUACGACCGCAAGGUUGAAACUCAAAGGAAUUGACGGGGGCCCGCACAAGCAGUGGAGUAUGUGGUUUAAUUCGAAGCAACGCGAAGAACCUUACCAGGUCUUGACAUCCGAUGCAUAGCGCAGAGAUGCGUGAAGUCCUUCGGGACAUCGAGACAGGUGGUGCAUGGUUGUCGUCAGCUCGUGUCGUGAGAUGUUGGGUUAAGUCCCGCAACGAGCGCAACCCUUAUUGCCAGUUACUACGUAAGAGGACUCUGGCGAGACUGCCGUUGACAAAACGGAGGAAGGUGGGGAUGACGUCAAAUCAUCAUGCCCUUUAUGACCUGGGCUACACACGUACUACAAUGGCGUUUAACAAAGAGAAGCAAGACCGCGAGGUGGAGCAAAACUCAAAAACAACGUCUCAGUUCAGAUUGCAGGCUGCAACUCGCCUGCAUGAAGUCGGAAUUGCUAGUAAUCGCGGAUCAGCAUGCCGCGGUGAAUACGUUACGGGGCCUUGCACUCACCGCCCGUCA
rnacentral:rRNA from 1 species